rnacentral:tRNA from 2 species
GCCCUCGUAGUUCAGUGGAUAGAACAAGGGACUCCUAAGCCCUAGACAGAAGUUCGAUUCUUCUCGAGGGCACAA